GGAUCUCUAGCUCAGUUUGGAUAGAGCGCUCAAUGAGUUAUAUUGAGAGGCCGGUGGUUCAAAUCCACCGAGAUCCC